rnacentral:misc_RNA from 1 species
GUGAAUUGGGAUCCAGAAUUUCAUAUUUUUGAUAAUCUACUAUUCCUCUAGUUUAGUAUCUUGUACUUGCAGUUCUGCUGAUGCAAAUGGCAUAGUUUGGAUCGUAGAAAAGGAAUUGGUUGAUUAUAGGAUUCUGUUAGUAUAUUGUAUUAUUUAGAAGAAAUAUCACAAAACAAUAGUGAUAUUUCAAAUAGAAUAAUAGCAUGUGGCAGCUUGUGGUGAAGGGAAUGUGAAAAAUAAUAUUUAAGUAACAUGUUUUUGGCUGAAUGUUAUGUUGCCAUUUGCAGUCUUUGAAUUUGACGUCAUUUUCCCUUCCUAAACUUAUAAUACACUUGUUUUCCAAUAUAAAGGACAAUCAAGGGAAAAUAGGGG